UCAGACCCGUGGCAAAUAGCUCAGUAGCACGUGGCCAAUCUACCCUCCGGAUCAGCACACCCUCGGGAAACUGAGGCCAAUUCUGUAUACGGCUCCCGACCUGGAAUGGUGGGAGCCCGAAACGCUCCGGCGCCGGAGGAUGAGGCUGCGGCCGAUUAGGUUGACGGUGGGGUAAUGGCCCACCGUGCCGAUAAUCGGUCUGGGUCAUGAGAGUGAGAACCCAGAGACGGAAUCUGAGACAAGAUUCCGGGCCCUACGGGGCGCAGCAGGCGCGAAACCUUUACACUGCACGCCAGUGCGAUAAGGGGACCCCAAGUGCGCAGGCAUAGUGCCUGCGCUUUUCUGGACUGUAGGGCGGUCCAGGAACAAGGGCUGGGCAAGACCGGUGCCAGCCGCCGCGGUAAUACCGGCAGCCCAAGUGAUGGCCGCUGUUAUUGGGCCUAAAGCGUCCGUAGCUGGCCGCACAAGUCCGUCGGGAAAUCCGCCCGCUUAACGGGCGGCCGUCCGGCGGAACCUGUGUGGCUUGGGACCGGGAGGCCUGAGGGGUACGAUCGGGGUAGGAGUGAAAUCCUGUAAUCCCGCUCGGACCGCCGAUGGCGAAAGCACUUCGAGAAAACGGAUCCGACAGUGAGGGACGAAAGCCAGGGUCUCCAACCGGAUUAGAUACCCGGGUAGUCCUGGCCGUAAACAAUGUUCGCUAGGUAUGACACAGACUACGCGUCUCUGUUGUGCCGUAGGGAAGCCG
rnacentral:rRNA from 1 species